rnacentral:rRNA from 1 species
UACGUAGGGUGCGAGCGUUAAUCGGAAUUACUGGGCGUAAAGCGUGCGCAGGCGGUUUUGUAAGUCUGUCGGGAAAUCCCCGAGCUUAACCUGGGAAUUGCGAUGGAGACUGCAAGGCUGGAGUCUGGCAGAGGGGGGUAGAAUUCCACGUGUAGCAGUGAAAUGCGUAGAGAUGUGGAGGAACACCGAUGGCGAAGGCAGCCCCCUGGGUCAAGACUGACGCUCAUGCACGAAAGCGUGGGGAGCAAACAGG